rnacentral:rRNA from 1 species
CCUACGGGAGGCAGCAGUAAGGAAUAUUGGACAAUGCUCGCAAGAGUGAUCCAGCCAUGCCGCGUGCAGGAAGAAUGCCCUAUGGGUAGUAAACUGCUUUUGAACUAGAGAAAACCCCAGUACGUGUACUGGGCUGAUAGUAUAGUUAGAAUAAGCAUCGGCUAACUUCGUGCCAGCAGCCGCGGUAAGACGAAGGAUGCAAGCGUUAUCCGGAUUCAUUGGGUUUAAAGGGAGCGUAGGUGGACUGAUAAGUCAGUGGUGAAAUCUCCGAGCUUAACUCGGAAAUUGCCAUUGAUACUGUUGGUCUUGAGUACAGUUGCUGUGGGCGGAAUAUGACAUGUAGUGGUGAAAUACAUAGAGAUGUCAUAGAACACCGAUUGCGAAGGCAGCUCACAAAGCUGUAACUGACACUGAGGCUCGAAAGUGCGGGGAUCAAACAGGAUUAGAUACCCUGGUAGUCCGCACCGUAAACGAUGAUUACUCGCUGCUAGGGGGCAACCUUUAGUGGCUUAGCGAAAGCGAUAAGAAUCCACCUGGGGAGACGCGCGACGAGAACGACGAAGAAGUAGACGGACGNGAGAGNGCGACGGACGACGACGAGGGGAGGUAGG